GACCUCAAAUCAGGUAGGGCUACCCGCUGAACUUAAGCAUAUCAAUAAGGGAGGAAAAGAAACUAACAAGGAUUCCCCUAGUAGCGGCGAGCGAACCGGACGAGCUCAAAUUUGAAAUCUGGCGCCCCCCGGGCGUCCGAGUUGUAACUACAGAAGCGUCUUCCGCGCCGGACCGUGUCCAAGUCCCUUGGAACAGGUAUCAAAGAGGGUGACAAUCCCGUGCUUGACACGACGACCGGUGCUCUUGAUGCGCUCUCCACGAGUCGAGUUGUUUGGGAAUGCAGCUCAAAACGGUGGUAAAUUCCAUCUAAAGCUAAAUAUUGGCAAGAGACCGAUAGCGAACAGUACCGUGAGGGAAAGAUGAAAAGCACUUUGGAAAGAGAGUUAAACAGGUGUGAAAUUGUUGAAAGGGAAACGAUUGAAGUCAGUCGUGUCGAGGGGUUCAACCGGCCCUGCCGGCGUACUUCCCCUCGACGGGUCAACGUCAGUUCCUCCGGCGGAAAAGGGCGACGGGAAGGUGGCACCCUCGGGUGUGUUAUGCCCGUUGUCGCAUACGCUGGUCGAGACUGAGGAACGCAGCUCGCCCUCCCGGGCCCGGGGUCCGCCCACGCCAGAGCUUAGGAUGUUGACAGAAUGGUUUAAACGACCCGUCUUGAAACACGGACCAAGGAGUCUAACAUAUCUGCAGUGUUUGGGUGUCAAACCCGGGCGCGUAAUGAAAGUAAACGCAAGAGGAUCCGCAAGGAGCACCUUUGACCGAUCUGGAUCUUCUGUGAUGGAUUUGGUAAGAGCAUAUGUGCUGGGACCCGAAAGAUGGUGAACUAUGCCUGAAUGGGCGAAGCCAGGGGAAACUCUGGUGGAGGCUCGUAGCGAUUCUGACGUCAAAUCGAUCGUCAAAUUUGGGUAUAGGGGCGAAAGACUAAUCGAACCACUAGUAGCUGGUUCCUGCCGAAGUUUC
rnacentral:rRNA from 1 species